ACCGGCGCACGGGUGAGUAACACGUAUGCAACCUGCCCUCUUCAGGGGGACAACCUUCCGAAAGGGAGGCUAAUCCCGCGUAUAUCGGUUUCGGGCAUCCGUUAUCGAGGAAAGAUUCAUCGGAAGAGGAUGGGCAUGCGGCGCAUUAGCUUGACGGCGGGGUAACGGCCCACCGUGGCGACGAUGCGUAGGGGUUCUGAGAGGAAGGUCCCCCACACUGGUACUGAGACACGGACCAGACUCCUACGGGAGGCAGCAGUGAGGAAUAUUGGUCAAUGGGAGAGAUCCUGAACCAGCCAAGCCGCGUGAGGGAAGACGGCCCUAUGGGUUGUAAACCUCUUUUGUCGGAGAACAAAACCCGGGACGAGUCCCGGACUGCGUGUAUCCGAAGAAAAAGCAUCGGCUAACUCCGUGCCAGCAGCCGCGGUAAUACGGAGGAUGCGAGCGUUAUCCGGAUUUAUUGGGUUUAAAGGGUGCGUAGGCGGUCCGUUAAGUCAGCGGUAAAAUUGCGGGGCUCAACCCCGUCGAGCCGUUGAAACUGGCAGACUUGAGUUGGCGAGAAGUACGCGGAAUGCGCGGUGUAGCGGUGAAAUGCAUAGAUAUCGCGCAGAACUCCGAUUGCGAAGGCAGCGUACCGGCGCCAGACUGACGCUGAGGCACGAAAGCGUGGGGAUCGAACAGGAUUAGAUACCCUGGUAGUCCACGCAGUAAACGAUGAAUGCUAGGUGUCCGGGUCGAAUGAGACCUGGGCGGCGAAGCGAAAGCGAUAAGCAUUCCACCUGGGGAGUACGCCGGCAACGGUGAAACUCAAAGGAAUUGACGGGGGCCCGCACAAGCGGAGGAACAUGUGGUUUAAUUCGAUGAUACGCGAGGAACCUUACCCGGGCUCAAACGGGAGUGGAAUGGACCAGAGACGGUUCAGCCUACGGGCCGCUUCCGAGGUGCUGCAUGGUUGUCGUCAGCUCGUGCCGUGAGGUGUCGGCUUAAGUGCCAUAACGAGCGCAACCCCCGCCGGCAGUUGCUAACGGGCAAUGCCGAGGACUCUGCCGGGACUGCCGCCGCAAGGCGUGAGGAAGGCGGGGAUGACGUCAAAUCAGCACGGCCCUUACGUCCGGGGCGACACACGUGUUACAAUGGGCGGUACAGCGGGAAGCCAGGCGGCGACGCCGAGCGGAACCCGAAAGCCGUUCUCAGUUCGGAUCGGAGUCUGCAACCCGACUCCGUGAAGCUGGAUUCGCUAGUAAUCGCGCAUCAGCCAUGGCGCGGUGAAUACGUUCCCGGGCCUUGUACACACCGCCCGUCAAGCCA
rnacentral:rRNA from 1 species